rnacentral:rRNA from 1 species
UACGUAGGGUGCGAGCGUUAAUCGGAAUUACUGGGCGUAAAGCGUGCGUAGGCGGUCCGCAAAGUCUGAUGUGAAAGCCCCGGGCUCAACCUGGGAACUGCAUUGGAAACUAACGGGCUCGAGUGUGGCAGAGGGGGGUGGAAUUCCACGUGUAGCAGUGAAAUGCGUAGAGAUGUGGAGGAACACCGAUGGCGAAGGCAGCCCCCUGGGCUAACACUGACGCUCAGGCACGAAAGCGUGGGGAGCAAACGGG